rnacentral:rRNA from 2 species
GCUUUGCUGACGAGUGGCGGACGGGUGAGUAAUGUCUGGGAAACUGCCUGAUGGAGGGGGAUAACUACUGGAAACGGUGGCUAAUACCGCAUAACGUCGCAAGACCAAAGAGGGGGACCUUCGGGCCUCUUGCCAUCAGAUGUGCCCAGAUGGGAUUAGCUUGUUGGUGAGGUAACGGCUCACCAAGGCGACGAUCCCUAGCUGGUCUGAGAGGAUGACCAGCCACACUGGAACUGAGACACGGUCCAGACUCCUACGGGAGGCAGCAGUGGGGAAUAUUGCACAAUGGGCGCAAGCCUGAUGCAGCCAUGCCGCGUGUAUGAAGAAGGCCUUCGGGUUGUAAAGUACUUUCAGCGGGGAGGAAGGUGUUGUGGUUAAUAACCGCAGCAAUUGACGUUACCCGCAGAAGAAGCACCGGCUAACUCCGUGCCAGCAGCCGCGGUAAUACGGAGGGUGCAAGCGUUAAUCGGAAUUACUGGGCGUAAAGCGCACGCAGGCGGUCUGUCAAGUCGGAUGUGAAAUCCCCGGGCUCAACCUGGGAACUGCAUUCGAAACUGGCAGGCUUGAGUCUUGUAGAGGGGGGUAGAAUUCCAGGUGUAGCGGUGAAAUGCGUAGAGAUCUGGAGGAAUACCGGUGGCGAAGGCGGCCCCCUGGACAAAGACUGACGCUCAGGUGCGAAAGCGUGGGGAGCAAACAGGAUUAGAUACCCUGGUAGUCCACGCCGUAAACGAUGUCUACUUGGAGGUUGUGCCCUUGAGGCGUGGCUUCCGGAGCUAACGCGUUAAGUAGACCGCCUGGGGAGUACGGCCGCAAGGUUAAAACUCAAAUGAAUUGACGGGGGCCCGCACAAGCGGUGGAGCAUGUGGUUUAAUUCGAUGCAACGCGAAGAACCUUACCUGGUCUUGACAUCCACAGAAGAAUCCAGAGAUGGAUUUGUGCCUUCGGGAACUGUGAGACAGGUGCUGCAUGGCUGUCGUCAGCUCGUGUUGUGAAAUGUUGGGUUAAGUCCCGCAACGAGCGCAACCCUUAUCCUUUGUUGCCAGCGGUUAGGCCGGGAACUCAAAGGAGACUGCCAGUGAUAAACUGGAGGAAGGUGGGGAUGACGUCAAGUCAUCAUGGCCCUUACGACCAGGGCUACACACGUGCUACAAUGGCGCAUACAAAGAGAAGCGACCUCGCGAGAGCAAGCGGACCUCAUAAAGUGCGUCGUAGUCCGGAUUGGAGUCUGCAACUCGACUCCAUGAAGUCGGAAUCGCUAGUAAUCGUGGAUCAGAAUGCCACGGUGAAUACGUUCCCGGGCCUUGUACACACCGCCCGUCACACCAUGGGAGUGGGUUGCAAAAGAAGUAGGUAGCUUAACCUUCGGGAGGGCGCUUACCACUUUGUGAUUCAUGACUGGGGUGAAGUCGUAACAAGGUAACCGUAGGGGAACCUGCGGUUGGAUCACCUCCUUACCUUAAAGAA